AUUGAACGCUGGCGGCAGGCCUAACACAUGCAAGUCGAGCGGUAGAGAGGUGCUUGCAUCUCUUGAGAGCGGCGGACGGGUGAGUAAUGCCUAGGAAUCUGCCUAGUGGUGGGGGAUAACGUUCGGAAACGGACGCUAAUACCGCAUACGUCCUACGGGAGAAAGCGGGGGAUCUUCGGACCUCGCGCCAUUAGAUGAGCCUAGGUCGGAUUAGCUAGUUGGUGAGGUAAUGGCUCACCAAGGCGACGAUCCGUAACUGGUCUGAGAGGAUGAUCAGUCACACUGGAACUGAGACACGGUCCAGACUCCUACGGGAGGCAGCAGUGGGAAUAUUGGACAAUGGGCGAAAGCCUGAUCCAGCCAUGCCGCGUGUGUGAAGAAGGUCCUUCGGAUUGUAAAGCAC
rnacentral:rRNA from 1 species